rnacentral:piRNA from 1 species
UCUGAUUUCUUAGAAAGGCCUUGCACUGUC